GAUGAACGCUGGCGGCGUGCCUAAUACAUGCAAGUCGAGCGAACGGACGAGAAUCUUGCUUUUCUGAUGUUAGCGGCGGACGGGUGAGUAACACGUGGAUAACCUACCUAUAAGACUGGGAUAACUUCGGGAAACCGGAGCUAAUACCGGAUAAUAUUUUAAACCGCAUGGUUCAAAAGUGAAAGACGUUCUUCCUGUCACUUCUAUAUGCAUCCGCGCUGCAUUAGCUAGUUGGUAAGGUAACGGCUUACCAAGGCAACGAUGCAUAGCCGACCUGAGAGGGUGAUCGGCCACACUGGAACUGAGACACGGUCCAGACUCCUACGGGAGGCAGCAGUAGGGAAUCUUCCGCAAUGGGCGAAAGCCUGACGGAGCAACGCCGCGUGAGUGAUGAAGGUCUUCGGAUCGUAAAACUCUGUUAUUAGGGAAGAACAUAUGUGUAAGUAACUAUGCACAUCUUGACGGUACCUAAUCAGAAAGCCACGGCUAACUACGUG
rnacentral:rRNA from 1 species